rnacentral:lncRNA from 1 species
CCCUAACCCGCCAGGUGUCCGCGCCGCUCGACCCUCGACCCUUCACCUCCCCGGGGUCUGCUUGCUCCUACAGCCGUCGAAGGUGCCUGCCGACUGGGCCGGAGGGGUGAGGGUGCCUGGGUAGGACGCGACACCCCGGCGCUGCGCGACGGCGUGCUUUGAAUUUAAAAAUUUUUGAAGGGCCAUGCGGCUUGAAUACAGUCUGCAAACAUGCUCCCAAGUAGAGUUUUAAAAUGACAUGGUCCUUCCGCUUUUUUUUUUAAUGCUAAGAUUUAUUCUCCGGGACUU